UGGCUAACUCCUACGGGAGGCAGCAGUAGGGAAUCUUCCGCAAUGGACGCAAGUCUGACGGAGCAACGCCGCGUGAGUGAUGAAGGGUUUCGGCUCGUAAAACUCUGUUGUUAAGGAAGAACACCUGAGGUAGUAACUGGCCUUGAGGUGACGGUACUUAACCAGAAAGCCACGGCUAACUACGUGCCAGCAGCCGCGGUAAUACGUAGGUGGCAAGCGUUAUCCGGAAUUAUUGGCCGUAAAGCGCGCGUAGGCGGUAAAAUAAGUCUGAUGUGAAAGCCCCCGGCUCAACCGGGGAGGGUCAUUGGAAACUGUUUUACUUGAGUACAGAAGAGGAGAGUGGAAUUCCAUGUGUAGCGGUGAAAUGCGCAGAGAUAUGGAGGAACACCAGUGGCGAAGGCGGCUCUCUGGUCUGUAACUGACGCUGAGGUGCGAAAGCGAGGGGAUCAAACAGGAUUAGAUACCCCUGUAGUCCAGCUGG
rnacentral:rRNA from 1 species